AACCAACCAAGAAAAAUAAAACAAAACCAAAUCACGAACCCUAGGUCUUUAUUUACAGUAUUUUAUGUUGUAUUUGAAAAUAUAUUUGCUUCAGUUUCUGCAGAUUUUUAAGUCUACAGUCAGGAUCAGUAACAGGCACUAUACUAAAAGGUAUCAAAACAGCCCUGAAUUCACUGACUGAACUCCCAGUGCUGCAAGGCUGUUUGUACAGGCAGACAUUUGCGCCAGCAGUAAGAUUGUUGCAAGAUUGUGUCCUUAGAUGAGAAGUAAUAUGUAAAAGAAAAUAAAAGAAAGUAACCAGUGAAAUAUAAAAGGUCUUACCAUACAUUUGUUUCUAAUGUUAAUGUAAAUAUAUUAAGAUGUUCAUGGAAUCUAAAGGGCUACAUUUUUGGCUUCGGCACAGCAAGCUGUUUUAUGUAUGAGCUGUAUGUAAUUAUAUUGAAAACAAACUUUGCUUCAAGAACGUUUUUGGCUCCACUGUGCAAUAACACAAAGGGCCUUUGUUAUGCUUUCAGCAGAGUUAUUUAUGGAUUGCAGAGGACUUACUAAAGGACAGUUUCAUCUGAUGGUAUUCAUCCACUGACUCAGAUUUAAAUGUAGUGACUUAUAUUCAUACAAAUCAUAAUUACAAGUAUGAUCAAGCAGACAAAGAUUUCUGAAACUAGAAAUGGGACUGCUGUACAGAUCCAGACCUGGAACAGCAGUACAGAGUGGUGUUUCAGAUCCAGAGCUUUACAGAGUGGGGUUUCAGAUCCAGAGCUUUAAAUGAGCCAGAAUGGAAAAUGCGACAAAAGGCUUUGCAUAAUUCACAUCAAUUAUAAUCAUCUUCAGUUGAAUUGAAAAUGAGGCUCUUGGUUGCUUAAAUGACAAAAAAUGUCAUGGAGAGCAGAGGGAGCUAACUCAGUGUUGAGAAGAAUGGAAUGCCAGGGCAAAGUGAGUUUGUGAAGAUCUGCCAGAAGCUCCAACAGGACCUUACAAAGCUGGGUGAGGGGACUGUGCUUUCCUCUGACUCACCUAAAACAGCCCUUACAUUAAAUGAUCACUUUCAGAAUCCUGCUUUCUGCCAAAUUUUUCCUGCAUGACCUGUGGGACUUGGGAAGCAUCCAAUGUCAGCUUUCUGCUCUGCUUCAAACUCAGCAUGACCAUGGAGAAGUUCAGACCACUUGCUGUCGGUACAAGCCUUUGGUUUCACAACUGCUGUGGCAUUCAGGUUUAAGAGUGUGCCGCUCAGCAAUUCAGAGUACUGUUUAUGCAAGAGAGGAAGACCCACCUUCUAGUGGCACCAGUGGAGGAAGUAUUUAUGAUAGUGAAGUUAACUUAAAGAAGCCAGUCUGAAUGUAGCCUCUGUUCAUUCACUUGCUUUGGCUUCCCAGCUAUAAAAUAGGUGUUCAGUAGCCAUUGACCUCACUGGAUUCCUUUAAAAAAUUAAACACUUUAAGAGACUAUGGAGCUGUGAGAUAUUGCAAGAAGGGAGGUUAUAUAAAUGUAAUCCAAUUAUAUAAGCUUCCUCAGAUGAAUUGCACUUUCAUUAACAUAGCAAUCUUCUACAUCCUUGUUGUUUAUUUGUCAUAUUAGUGGUUGCAGAGACUAGAUGGUAUUUCUGAUGAUGAAUCCCAAUCUUAUUUUCUUUACUUGGUGAAGAGUUUUGGUUUGGUCAUGCAAACAGCUUGCAGGUCGCAUUGACUCCAUGUGCAGCUGCAAACACUGAAUGCUUCUGAAUUCAGGGCCUAUUUUCUGAAGAAUUUCACGAUUUUUUUAUUAUAGCAUCUCCGUCCUUGACAUUUCCAGGAUCCACUGUGACCUAGCCACUUACCAUCUAACUCAAAGUUCUUUGUCACCCUAUGGGAAAUGACAGUAAAAACUGUAUGGAUGGAAGAAGGUAUAUGUAGUAGGGCCAGGAAAUAUGUAGACCAACUUGACACUGUCAUCAGUUCACUGUUCCUUGACAUCGUGCUGUUCUUUAGUUAUUAAACAAAUAGUUAACUGUAUUAAUUAACUGUUAAUUUAGUUAUUAACCAAAAGAACCCAGAUUCUAAGCAGGUGCUUAUUGUUCUGGGUGAUCGAUGGCAUUGUUCUGCUGUUUCCUUUAGAAACCGCUGAGGGGCAGCAGGUUUUCACAUAGAAAAUAGUGUCUUCCAUGUGUAAGGAAAACUUGAGCUGAAAAGACUUCUCUUCCAAAUGUGGCAGAAGAGCACUGCUGCUUGACCCCAAAGAACAGGACAGUCUUGUUAUUCUUGUUUUUUUCUUGGGUGGAACUGCUCUACUUUUUAAAAUCUGAUUAGUAAUAAAAAUUGAUCAAGAGAUUUUGCAUAACACUACAAAGCUUGCUACCCUGUCUACAAAAAGGCAAAGACUAGCCUACUGGGCUCAACAGGCUUUGUCUCUUUCUAGCACUCUUUCGAUUUGCAACGAGGUAAACUGCAAAGCAGAGCUUAUUUGUUUUGAUCAUUUCCCUCCCAUGUUUCAGUUGUCACUUGAUCUCUUUCUUCAACUGCACUUCAUUUGCAAACGCCUGCAUGUUUGCAAAUGAAUGCUACAAAACACUCUUGAACCACUCAUCGAUAGCUGGUAAAGCUUAUAAUGCUUUUUUUUUGCUCCAUGCAUGGUUGCUGUUACUUUGUUAGUCAUGAGAUAGAAUCAUGCUUCUUCCUAUUCCAAACACAGAUUUCUUCAAUCUGCUUUGAAAUUCAUUUUUUACCAUCCACUCUGAUAGCAUUGAGUCUUGUCACCCAAAUUUGCUUUUCUUUUCAGAUUUACAACUUUACUGGACACAGAAGCUCUGAGAUGAAGUUGACCAAAAUACAUAGAAAAUCCAUCUUUGGAUUCCUAAAGUUAGGGUGCAAUAAAUUACUGUCUCAGGAGUUGUGGAUAUACAGAGGUAGACACCAUCGACCAAACUUAGUGCCAUAAUUCCACAAAAUUGUAUGUAGUGGAGGUUGAUAUCUCAAAUAAAACUUACCCCAGAUAACAUCUCUGUCAAUAAAGUGGAACACAAAGAAAAGGUAAUGAAGAAUUUUUAUAAUAAGGCAAGAUGCUGAAAUAAAUUAAGUAUAAGACAGUAUUGAAGUAGGAUGGGCAGAAUAUUAAGGCAUUGCUGGAUUAAUUGAGAUUAGUUUAUGCUUGAUAUUUUAUAAACUCCAUGGAACAGAACAAGACAGAUCUAUGAAUCCACUUAUUUUAAUGCUUAAGUUAAAAAAUGACACUGAACUUGCCACUGCAUUUGGUUAUAGAGUUGAAAAAGAAGGCAUGAGCUACAGGCUGCUUUAUGAAGAAAUGUGUGAUUUCAGAUGUGGCAGGAUUCUUAGAAAACUCUCCUUUCAAAGGAACGGGG